AGAAAAAUGUAAAUAGUAUCAAAACUAAAUUGAAGGAUGAAGAAGGACCAAGGUUAUUUAACGUAAAGAAGAAAGUAUCCAUUACAGAAAGGAAGAAACAUUCAAUUGAUAAUGACAACGUUGAUUCAGAGGUGAU